AUUGAACGCUGGCGGCAUGCCUUACACAUGCAAGUCGAACGGCAGCACGGGGGCAACCCUGGUGGCGAGUGGCGAACGGGUGAGUAAUGCAUCGGAACGUGCCCAGUAGUGGGGGAUAACCCGGCGAAAGCCGGGCUAAUACCGCAUACGACCUAUGGGUGAAAGCGGGGGAUCGCAAGACCUCGCGCGAUUGGAGCGGCCGAUGUCUGAUGAGCUAGUUGGCGGGGUAAGAGCCCACCAAGGCGACGAGCAGUAGCUGGUCUGAGAGGACGACCAGCCACACUGGGACUGAGACACGGCCCAGACUCCUACGGGAGGCAGCAGUGGGGAAUUUUGGACAAUGGGCGCAAGCCUGAUCCAGCCAUGCCGCGUGCGGGAAGAAGGCCUUCGGGUUGUAAACCGCUUUUGGCAGGAACGAAACGGCGCGAGUGAAUAACUCGCGUUAAUGACGGUACCUGCAGAAUAAGCACCGGCUAACUACGUGCCAGCAGCCGCCGUAAGAC
rnacentral:rRNA from 1 species